UACGGAGGGAGCUAGCGUUGUUCGGAAUUACUGGGCGUAAAGCGCACGUAGGCGGCGAUCUAAGUCAGGGGUGAAAGCCCGGGGCUCAACCCCGGAAUAGCCUUUGAGACUGGAUUGCUUGAAUCCGGGAAAGGUGAGUGGAAUUCCGAGUGUAGAGGUGAAAUUCGUAGAUAUUCGGAAGAACACCAGUGGCGAAGGCGGCUCACUGGACCGGCAUUGACGCUGAGGUGCGAAAGCGUGGGGAGCAAACAGGAUUAGAUACCCUGAUAGUCCACGCCGUAAACGAUGAUAACUAGCUGCUGGGGCGCAUGGCGCUUCGGUGGCGCAGCUAACGCAUUAAGUUAUCCGCCUGGGGAGUACGGUCGCAAGAUUAAA
rnacentral:rRNA from 1 species